CCCCGGUUAGCUCAGUCGGUAGAGCAUGAGACUCUUAAUCUCAGGGUCGUGGGUUCGAGCCCUACAUUAGGCG
rnacentral:tRNA from 1 species